AGCACGUGUGUAUUUCUGUUUAACUGUGGACAAAGCCUUAGAGACAGGUGCAAAAAACAAAUCGCUGUUUGCAACCCAGACCUGGUGGUUCGUAGGAGUUUGGUAACACACAGGAAGCCGCGUU
ensembl:snoRNA